UUCUUCUUCUCCUCCUUCUUCUUCUUCUUCGUCUUCUUCAUCCUUCUAGAAAGAGAGAGAGACCGACGACUUCUCCCUUCCUUUUCGAAAUCUCUUCCGUCGCCCCAUCCUUCAUUUGCUUCUCCACGCUGACACAAUGCCACUAUCGUUGCACUGCUCUAACCGUCGGAAGACGACCACCCACGCCGCGUGCCUUGAACCACGGCGUUUUGAAGCGGUUAGUUCGAAUCGACACAAUCUAUUCGAGUGUCCUCAUUGUGUUUCUUUGUAACUGAGCUGUGCAGUACCUAUCCAUCGUUCGUUGUCAUUCGGCAAGUUGAAUCAUUGCUAAUUUCGUUCUUUUCAACUCCGUAUCGUUGGAUCUAAGUUUUUGGAUUUGGAUUUUAAAGGAGUUCAAACCACUGUCCAGCAGUUCGUAAGCUUAAAUUUGGGCGUUCUGGUACAACUUGGCGCCACCCACGGUUGUCAGGGGAUUCUGGGGCUGAAAGAGGCCAUGACCGGAGAUCCGAGAACCUGAGCGUGAGGACAUGGAUGGAGGAUUGUGAUAUGGCUUCUGGCCUAGCUUAACCCAUGGUGGGUGGCUCUAUGUGCACAUAGAAGCGGUAUGUUGUUACCGUGGUAAGUGCUAAGUAUGCGUGAGCUCCGUUUGGCCGCGUGUUUCUUUGUGGAUAUGGAGCACGUGUGAGUUAUCCUUGGGCCGUAUGCUUAGUAUACUAUCAUGGUUGGGUUGGAUUGGUUGGAUCGGAUUGGAUGGAAGUUGUUAUCGUGGCGGGUACUAAAUAUGCGUGAGCUAGUUUUGGCCGCAUGAUUUUUUUAGUCAUGUGCGAGCUAUCUUUGGCCGUAUAUUUAGAUGCCUUGCCAUGGUUGGUUUGGAUACAGGUUUGUUGGCGUUACUUAUGGUUUAUGGUAACGAUCAAGGACCAAGCAUUGGUUGUGCUUUUCUGUCAUUGAUUGUAGUUUCUCAUUCUUGUUGUAUGUAUAUAUUUAUGUGUAGUAUUGUAUUAUUGGGUGAUUAGAAGAAGUGAGAGUCACGAUGAGAAUUUGAGUUUGAGAGGUCUUUUAUUAGAUUGUAAUUCUUCUGUAACUAGUUCGUAGUUGAAUAUAAAUUUUGAACGAGAUUCUGGAAUUGUCUGGAUGAGUGUGUGGUGAGACACACUCGAUGAUAUUGAGUUUUUGAAAAGCAUAGAAGCUAUUUUUUUUUAGGUGUGGUUAAUCCGUUUUUCAGGGGAGACUCUGCCGAAUUUUUUUUUGAAUUUCUUGAAAAAGGUUUUACUAAUCCUACAUAUGAAAGGAAUGAAUUGAAGGAGUAGAUUCACACCACGAUCUAGGUUAGAAGGGAAAAUUUAAAACGGGGUGUGCCAAUUUGGUAUCAGAGCAUGGUUUUGGGAAACCUAAGGGUUAUGAGCAAGAGUUUGGAAAAUCAAAAGCUUAUGCACUAGAGAUUUAGCAAGAGUUUGAAUCGCAUAAGUAAGUUGCACUGAAACAUACACAACUAUGGCAUACGAUCUAGGCAACCUACUAAGAAAACUCAUGAUGCUCUUGAUAGUUUAGACAUGGAGUUGAGGAAGUUAAAGCGACACUAGUUUAUCCUCAGGCGGAAUUUUUUUUUUUUUUGGUGAGCUAAUGAUGUCUCAUUUGACUCAAAAUAUCAGUUGGUGUGAGAUUUUUGUGAGCCAAUCCUAAGAAAAACUAAGGAUUUGAGCUUUUAAAGGGUCUAGGAAUGACAACAUUAGGUAUAAGAUAGGCGAGUGAGAUUUGCCAUUCUUUUGUUGUAGAAAAGGGCAAAGUAUUGAUGGCGUUAUACUAAGUUAUGCCUUAGUGGUAGACUAGUUUGUUGGAAAGAACAUGGAAGAGUUAUUCAUGAUAACUUAUCUGAGGUCAUCUCGAGAUGCGAAACAAAGGGAAUUUCUGAAGCUUGUAUAAGAAGUUAUGUCUGGGUUAAAAUAUGAAAAGUAUUACAAAUGAUUGUGGGUAUCCCAUCUCAGUGCCCCAAGACGAGGUAGUCAAAUGCAUAGGAUUAAAGAUAGUUUAAGUGGGGAGAUUCAUACGCUACUACUGUUAGCACUGAAUGGAUGAUGUUGUUAAACUAAAAAUACUCUGUACAAGUUACGAAGAACUUGUUUGAGAAUAAGGCAGAGGAAUGAAUCUCAAGGAUUGCUCAAAUAACUAAUCUUUCGAGCUUACCAUCUGAAAGAUCUAAUAGCUGGUUAAACCCUGAAGUUUGAUGAGUAUAUCGAAAUAGAUUUCUUAUCAACGUAUCAUACCACUAUAGAUUUAUAUCAUAAAAGAUCAAGUGUUUAAGUAACAAGGUGACGUUGAUGUGAGUUCAAGGGCAAUGGAAAGAUUUCUCGCGAAUGUUAUUUUUGUGGUAAGAGCGAGGUAGUUUAAGAAAGGGUUGUAUUGUGUACUUGGCUUAUGUAAUAAAUACCCAAGUCAAGAACUAAAACUUGAGGACAUUCUUAUGUUACAAAGGUUUUCAGAAUGUAUUUCCAGAUGGAAUUCAAGGAUUAUGAAUUCAAUAUUAGUAUAACACCAAUCCCUUUACACCAUACAAAAGAACUCUAACGAAACUGAGAGAGUUGAAGGCUCAUUGUAGAAACUUGUGAGUAAAGGUUCUAUUUGGCCUAAUGUUUCUCUUGGGAGCACUAGUCAGGUGCACUAGUCUGGAAUCAUUAAGAAGAAGAUGACACCCUAAGGGUAAGUGUUAAUUAAUGAUAGUUGGACAACAUAACCGUCUAUAUUAAGUAUAUGUUGUCAUGUAUUGUUGAUUUGUUAAAUUAACUAAAGGAUGCCUUAGUAUUCUUUAAAAUAGUUGAGGGCAAGAUGUUAUCAAUUAAAGAGUAAGGAGCCAAGUGUAAUAAAGAUGAUGUUUAGAAUGAGAUAUGAUCAAUUUUAGUUUCUUGUAAUGUUAUUGAUUUGACUAAGGCACUAACUGCCUUUAUAGACUUAAUGAACCGAGCAUUUCAAGCUAGAACAAAUUUUCAUUGUUCUCAUGAUAGAGGUAUUGCUUAUUCUAAAGGGAAAGAAAAUAGGGUGAUACAUCUUAGAAUAUUGUCAUUGACGUUACAAGACAAUAAAGAGUAUGUUAAGUUCAGUGUAUGUGAGUUCUGACGUAGACAAGUAACAUUCUAUGGUUAUGUUAUUACAACUGAAGGUGUACUAGUGGAUUUUCAAGGAACUGAAGUAAUACGUAAGUGGAAACAACACAUAAAAAUUUCUAAAGUAUGUGAACGUUUUCAGGAAGUGAAGAGAUAACUUAUUUCCAUGCCUAUUUUACCCUUCUGAAACCUGAUGUUGUGUUUGAAACUUACUAUGAUCUAAGAGGCGAUGGAGUAAUAACAAGAUAUAGUCAGUUGUGUUUUUCGAACAAAUUGGAGUUAAGGAAUGAGAUGAUAUAGUAAGUUUAAGUCUCAACCUAUACUAAGGCUUCAAGAAGCUAAGAUAUAUUAGACUUUGAAACAACCCUAUUGGUGACAUCAAUUGAAGCAAGAGAUAGUUGAGUAUGUCUCAAGAUGUUUGAUUUGCCAACAGGUUGAAUUGUUUAGAUAAAAGCAACAUAACAUUUGAAUCUAAUUCAACUACUAGAAUGGAAUUAGAAACUUUUGAUGAAUUUUUCUUUUGGAAUUUCUUUGAACACAGAGAAUUCAUGAUGGUGUUUGGGUGAUAAUUAACAGACUGACAAAGAUACAUGAUUUUGUUUUUGCUAUUUCAUGCCACUAAGUACUUGGAUGAAUUUGGCUAAGUCUAUAGCAAGCUUUAGGUGCUAACUAACGUUGGUACAACCCUUUUAUCCUUAAACUAAUGGAAAGUCAAAACGAACCACUUCAACAUUAUAGGAUAUGUUACAAACCUAUGUUCCCCAGUUUAAGGGUAACUGGGACUCACAUCUCUCAUUGAUGGAAUUUGAUAGGUGCUAAGUAUGCGUGAGCUCCGUUUGGCCGUGUGUUUCUUUGUGGAUAUGGAGCACGUGUGAGCUAUCCUUGGGCCGUAUGCUUAGUAUACUAUCAUGGUUGGGUUGGAUUGGUUGGAUCAGAUUGGAUGGAGGUUGUUAUCAUUGUGGGUACUAAAUAUGCGUGAGCUAGUUUUGGCCGCAUGAUUUUUUUAGUCAUGUGCGAGCUAUCUUUGGUUGUAUAUUUAGAUGCCUUGCCAUGGUUGGUUUGGAUACAGGUAACGAUCAAGGACCAAGCAUUGGUUGUGCUUUUCUGUCAUUGAUUGUAGUUUCUCAUUCUUGUUGUAUGUAUAUAUUUAUGUGUAGUAUUGUAUUAUUGGGUGAUUAGAAGAAGCGAGAGUCACGAUGAGAAUUUGAGUUUGAGAGGUCUUUUAUUAUAUUGUAAUUCUUCUGUAACUAGUUCGUAGUUGAAUAUAAAUUUUGAACGAGAUUCUGGAAUUGUCUGGAUGAGUGUGUGGUGAGACACACUCGAUGAUAUUGAGUUUUUGAAAAGCAUAGAAGCUAUUUU